rnacentral:rRNA from 1 species
UACGUAGGGCGCGAGCGUUGUCCGGAAUUAUUGGGCGUAAAGAGCUCGUAGGCGCCGGUUGCGUCUGCUGUGAAAUCCCGGGGCUUAACCCCGGGCGUGCAGUGGAUACGGGCCGGCUGGAGGCAGGCAGGGGAGAAUGGAAUUCCCGGUGUAGCGGUGAAAUGCGCAGAUAUCGGGAGGAACACCGGUGGCGAAGGCGGUUCUCUGGGCCUGUCUGACGCUGAGGAGCGAAAGCGUGGGGAGCGAACAGG